AGGAGGUUGAGGCUGGGCGGCCCAAGGUGGAAGGAGGGGCCGUGAGGUGAGAGAGUCCGGGAGCCCGAGCCUGAGAUGGCCUGAUAUGAAGGAGUCACGCCUCCCGCCUCCCGGAGCUGCCCAGUGGCUGCCUUGUCCUUCAAGUGCAGGAGCUGGUUCAAAUGUCAGGAAUGGAAGCCACUGUGGUAAGGGGCAUUCCCAGGGCAGGGGUAUGGUGGGGAAGGUUGGGUGCUGGGCCUGCUGAAGUACUGUAUAAGGUUCUGAGACUCUCCAGUUGAGCACUCCUUUCUCCAGAGGCCUGGAAUUGGAGCAAGGCCACCGUUUCACUCCCUCCCCCUAAGAAGAACCAACUAUGAUCCUGGGGCACUUCAGGAGUCAGUGUAUGUCUGCCUUUCUGUACAGAGGACGGGAAGGAAAGCCUGGAUAAUCUCUACACUCAGCUACUUCCUCUCCCCUUCCCUGACCCUCCCAACAUUGACUGCCUUAGCAGCAGCAGGUAUUCCCUUGGGUGGCUGGCCAGGGUGUAGGCUGGCAACUGGGGAACCUGCCCUCACUAUAAUUGAGAGUUGACUUGCCCCUAGAGAGUGCCCUGUCCCUAGGUUUGUGGAAUUCAGUCUCCCUGCUAGAGAGGAGAGGACAAGGACAGUAGUUGGAUUCAUUCUCUGGGGUUGUAGCUGUCUCCGUCUCUCUUUGCUCCAGACCAUCCCAAUCUGGCAAAACAAGCCACAUGGGGCUGCUCGAAGUGUAGUAAGAAGAAUUGGGACCAACCUACCCUUGAAGCCGUGUGCCCGGGCGUCCUUUGA
rnacentral:sRNA from 1 species